UGUCGUAGCAGCUGGUGUGAGUGUGUGUCUCCGAGGCGCACGCGAUGCAGAGCUUUGAUGCUCGAGCUCUCCUCCACCAACAAGAUUCACUUUAAGACACAGCUGAAGGAAACAGGAAGACGGCGCGUCAUAAGCUUGGUGAUGUAACGGUUCGUACCUACCAAUAAGAACUGUCCAUCGGGUCCGGGAGGAGUACAACGCACUAAACUUGACCGAGGAAUGGGACUCCGACAGGCAAAAAAAACUCUUACUUAUCACUUUCUUUACAAAUCAAGAGGUCUCGGGGUCCCUGGAUAAAAAGGUUCUCGCUUGGAGAGGAGAAAAGAGAAGAGGAGAGCAGGAGAGAGACGGCAGCGAGCGCUGGGAAUGAGUAGGCGUCUCACACUCUUACCAGGCCCAACAGGAUGCACAACCUUACGACUUGAUGUAUUCAAGUGUAAUCAGAGACACGCUCACUAGAGAACCAGGUCCCUGCAGCAGGACAAUGCUCCAUGACACACAGCCAGGUCAAUCAAGGUGUGGAUGGAGGACCACCAGAUCAAGACCCUGUCAUGGCCAGCCCAAUCUCCAGACCUGAACCCCAUUGAAAACCUC